rnacentral:rRNA from 1 species
UAGGGAAUCUUCCGCAAUGGACGCAAGUCUGACGGAGCAACGCCGCGUGAGUGAAGAAGGAUUUCGGUUCGUAAAACUCUGUUGUUAGAGAAGAACAGCGCAUAGAGUAACUGUUAUGCGUGUGACGGUAUCUAACCAGAAAGCCACGGCUAACUACGUGCCAGCAGCCGCGGUAAUACGUAGGUGGCAAGCGUUGUCCGGAUUUAUUGGGCGUAAAGCGAGCGCAGGCGGUCAAUUAAGUCUGAUGUGAAAGCCCCCGGCUCAACCGGGGAGGGUCAUUGGAAACUGGUAGACUUAAGUGCAGAAGAGGAGAGUGGAAUUCAAUGUGUAGCGGUGAAGUGCGUAGAUAUAUGGAGGAACACCAGUGGCGAAGGCGACUCUCUGGUCUGUAACUGACGCUGAGGCUCGAAAGCGUGGGAAGCAAACAGG